GACGUCGCUGCCGUGAUC
rnacentral:snRNA from 1 species